AAAUAUUUUAAUGAUGUCUUGGUUUAACUUGAAUUUUGAACGCAUUGUUAACUUUUGUAAAUCUGCUUGAAUGUUAGGCUAGUGCAUCUGUCAAGUUUGCCUUAUAAAGUAAUGAUUGACAGAUUUUUUUAGAUCGCAUUUAUUUUCCAUAGCAUAGACAUGCUUUUUUAAGAAUAAAAUUGCUGUUUUGAGUGUGGUGGAUGAAAUAGUGGUAGCUGCUAACAAUUUUCAGGCUCAACCUGGCGGGAAUUUCUUUUAGCAGGGAAUGCUAAAUGAUAGAUGCUUGCAUGAGUUGAUUAAAACCCGCAUCAGCUAAUGUUAAUGAAAUAACAGAAAUAAGUAUACUAUGUUGAUGAUAUGCGACAGGAGAAGUAGUGAUUACUUAAUUUUGCUUAAUGCCUGACCGAAAUGAAUGGUAAGUUACAUUUAACUGAGGCAAAGUGUUUGCACCCAGAUAGCAAUUGCCAUCUUGUGCGUGCCUUAGCUAACAUUACAUGAAAAUGCAUACCAGGUGCAAUGCCAUUUUAUGUUCGCAUUAUAAAUAGAUUUAAGUGUAACAGAAGUUUUCUAUUUUCUUGUUCAAAAUACAUUUGACACUUGAAAACAUUUAUUCAUCAUGUUUCAUAUGUAUACAUUGCAGGUGUGCCAGGUGGGUCCAGAAUCUAAGGAAUGCAUCCCUUCAUGGCAUACCUUUGGAUCAGCUGCAUCGGACCUACAGGGUGUGCAGUGCCCAUUUCCACAGCAGCCAGUUCAAAAGACCAUCUGAUGUCCAUAGUGGGCUGAACUGGGAUGCUGUGCCCACAAGAAUACAGGCCCCUAACCCACAUCCCCCACUAGAUGUCGAGAGGAAGCGUAAACCUCCGAAGACACGCCAGGAGUUGCCACGUAAAAACGCAAGCAGAGUCAAGUUCCUCCUCCCUCCAAAGACCAGCAUACCG